UCUUCAUGCAUGUCUCCCGACAGGCCCACGGCAGGACCACGCAGCUCGACGCGCUGUUCCUUCGCGUCCUGCACGCGCCAACAUCGACGCACUUUCGCACACGUCCUCGGAAACUCGUCAACGCCGCAGGUCCUUCCUUACGCAAUACAAAUUUGAACGAUUGGAUUAUGUAGUGGACACGGGCCUCGGAGCACCGGGGAAAAUUGGGGAAAAUCCGGAGACGUCCUUGGACUCGUUUUGCGAAAAGUCGCAGCGCGCUGACAAAAAGUAGGUCAUCCGAUAAAAACGAAAAGGUAUUACGAAUUACCGAAUCUGAGGCUGGGGAUGCUUCCUAUAAAUUAGAAGUGACUAGAAACUAUUUCUACGAGGGUUGUCAUGCUUCCUAAAGGCUGAAAAACUAUUAUUCCGUGCUUAAAGACUUUUGACCAGUGUGGUAGCACGGGGCAGGUUAGAGCAGUGGCGCCAUCUCUCGGCCGCGCUUGGUACUACGUCAGCGCCGACCGGAUGCUCCACGAGCGCGCAGCGCGCCAAACUCAACCAAGCCAAACAUCUUUCACUCGAGAAAGAGUUGCCCUGGAGUCGGCGGUGGUGGAAAGUCAAAGAGCGGCGUCGUGGGCGUGACCAAUCCGCAGAGGAUGUCCCCCCGCGGCUCUGCCGUCGGACAAUGCCAGUGUUUGUGUGCGACACGGCGACACGGCAACAUGCCACCCGGCUCCUGUUUGGCCCGCAGCGCGGUGGUCCCUCGACGGGCAGUCCAAAAGGGAAUCGAAACGAAUUAGUUCAGGAUUUUGGUGGAUGUCGUUGCGGGGAUACUCCAUGCCGCGGGUCCGCCACGCCAAGUCGCCGGCAGUGGCGCCCCCUACCA
rnacentral:lncRNA from 1 species